rnacentral:lncRNA from 1 species
GUUCGGUGUUUGCCGUUUGUUUAUGUGUUACAUAUUUCUUUGUCUUUUUUAUAUAUAAACAAGGCCGUGAGUUUUUUUGUUUAAAUUGUUUUACAUUGUUAUUUCGGGGCCUUUAAUAGCGGACUAUGCGGUAUUGGCUUUGCUCAUUGUUUAAGGCCGUACAGUUACCUAUAGCUACUAAUUUCUGUGUAAUGUUGGUCUCUGGUGGAGAGUUGUCUCAUUGGCAAUUACACCACAUCUUCCUUUUUUGUAUGUUUAGUCUAACUUUUCAGUAUGGGCAUUGUUCUUUGUUGAAGGCGAAACGGUG